AUCGAAAUUAUUGGUGAGGGUUGUAGCUGGCCUUUCGAAGCAUGUGCACGCUCGAGCCCUUAAUCCACUUUACACCUGUGCACUUAAUGUAGGUCGCCCUUAAAAAAGGUGACCUAUGUCUUAUCAUCAACCCAUCGUAUGUCUCAUAGAAUGUAAUCGAUAUCCUCGCCCUAAAAAAGCGUUGAUAAACUUAUACAACUUUCAACAACGGAUCUCUUGGCUCUCGCAUCGAUGAAGAACGCAGCGAAAUGCGAUAAGUAAUGUGAAUUGCAGAUUUUCAGUGAAUCAUCGAAUCUUUGAACGCACCUUGCGCUCCUUGGUAUUCCGAGGAGCAUGCCUGUUUGAGUGUCAUUAAAUUCUCAACUCCAAGGGUUUCACGACCUUUCGGAGAUUGGACUUGGAGGUGCUGGCCGCAUAUUGGUCGGCUCCUCUCAAAUGCAUCAGCGGAAUUCAACCUUUGGCUUCCGGAUGUCAGUGUGAUAAUCAUGUUGCGCUGUCGUUUGAUCCCUCAGAGUCCGCUUAUAAUGGUCUUCGGACAAAAUCAUCAUCAAAUUUGACCUCAAAUCAGGUAGGACUACCCGCUGAACUUAAGCAU
rnacentral:sRNA from 1 species